ACCUUUCAUAAAGUCACACUGGGUUUGUGGAGUGUGAAGAGGGUCAGACUAAACACACAGAGACCAUGUGAUUCUGAAUGAACUAGAUUUUGUGUUUGCCUGGACACAUUUCAUGUAAAGACUUGAAAAGGAAGGUUUAUCAAGACUAUGAAUGAUGGUUUCACAAAGCCUUGUCUGAAGGUUUAGGAAGUCUUGAAGGUCUUCUAUGCCUUUUAGGCCAACAGAUCAGCUUGUACUUUUUAUUUAUAUAUCAGUCUUAUUUUAGUAUUAUUUAUGUACUUUUAUAGUAUUUUUUCAUAUUUUGAAGGUGAAGCUUUUGCUUUUAUAUAUUCAGUUCUCAUUUUAGUAAUUUGGUUAUGCACUUUUGUCAUUUUUAUUAGUUUCUGCUUUUUUAACAUUUUCAUUUAGCUUUAAUUUACUUUUAUUUCAGCUUUGGUCUUAGUAAUUUUAAUACUUCAACCUAAAAUAAUUUCAGUUAUUUGCCAAGGCAAUAUUCUAUUUAUUUAUUUAUUUUUGUUGGGUUUAAGAACCUUAGAACCUUUUUUUAGGUUCUAAAUUUUUAGGUUAAAUUACUUUUUGUUAGUUUUAAGAACCAAUUUUUUUGUUAGGUUUAAGAACCUUAGAACCUUUUUUUAGGUUAAAAAUCUUUUUGUUAGUUUUAAGAACCAAAUUUUUGUUAGGUUUAAGAACCUUUUUGUAGGUUCUAAGUUUUUAGUUUAAAGAACGUUUUGUUAGGUUUAAGAACCUUAGAACCUUUUUUAGGUUAAAGAAUUUUUUUUUAGGUUAAAUAAUUUUUUUUUAGGUUCAACGUUUUUAGGUUUCAGAACUUUUUGUUAAGUUUAAGAACCUUAGAAACACUUUUAGGUUCUAAGUAUUUAGGUUAAAUAACUUUUUGUUAAGAACCUUAGAACCUUUUUUAGGUUAAAGAUCUUUUUGUUAGUUUUAAGAACUAAUUUUUUGUUGAGUUUAAGAACCUUAGAACCUUUUUUAGGUUAAAGAAUUUUUUUUUAGGUUAAAGAAUUUUUUUUUAGGUUCAACGUUUUUAGGCUUAAGAACUUUUUGUUAAGUUUAAGAACCUUAGAAACACUUUUAGGUUCUAAAUAUUUAGGUUAAAUAACUUUUUGUUAAGAACCUUAGAACCUUUUUAGGUUAAAGAUCUUUUUGUUAGUUUUAAGAACCUAUUUUUUGUUGAGUUUAAGAACCUUAGAACCUUUUUUUAGGUUCUAAGUUUUUAGGUUAAAUAAUUUUUUUUUAGGUUCAACGUUUUUAGGUUUAAGAACUUUUUGUUAAGUUUAAGAACCUUAGAAACACUUUUAGGUUCUAAAUAUUUAGGUUAAAUAACUUUUUGUUAAGAACCUUAGAACCUUUUUUAGGUUCUAAGUUUUUAGGUUAAAGGACUUUUUGUGGGUUUAAGUACCUUAGAACUUUUUUUGGUUAAAAAAACUUUUUGUUAGGUUUAAGAACCUUAGAAGCUUUUUUAGGUUCUAAGUUACGUUUAAGUAUUUCAUGAUCUAAUAUCUAUUUUUUAUUUUAUUUCUGCUUAAAUGUAAUUACUGAAAUUAAUUACUGAAAUGAUUUUAAUAUAUAUAGAUAAAAAUCAAAUUUCACUUCCUGUAAUUCAAAUUCCAUUUGAACUUUCUGUGGGUGUGUCCAAAUCAAAUUCCAACCCGUGAAUGGAAAAGAAGCAAGUUCUUAAAUUCUGAAUUUUGUCCAAGAGCACAGAUUUGAAGCACAUCUGCAGAAAACUGUACUGCAUUUGCAAGGUGUGUGUGAGUGUUUUAUGAGUUUUUAUGACUAGCAUAACCUAGUUUUGUCACAGGAUUGAGCCACAGUAAGCCCAUCAUGAUACUGUAUCACUGAAACCAGCAUGCAGUAUGAUGUAAUGUGAGCGAAGGCCACAUCGAGCGCGCCGUGUGCCUG